UACGGCGGUCAUAGCAAAGAGCAGCCACCCGUUCCCAUUCCGAACACGGAAGUUAAGCUCUUUAGCGCCGAUGGUACU
rnacentral:rRNA from 1 species